rnacentral:rRNA from 1 species
CAGGUCUUGACAUCCCUCUGACCGUCCUAGGGAUAGGGCUUUCCUUCGGGACAGAGGAGACAGGUGGUGCAUGGUUGUCGUCAGCUCGUGUCGUGAGAUGUUGGGUUAAGUCCCGCAACGAGCGCAACCCUUGAUCUUAGUUGCCAGCACUUCGGGUGGGCACUCUAAGGUGACUGCCGGUGACAAACCGGAGGAAGGUGGGGAUGACGUCAAAUCAUCAUGCCCCUUAUGACCUGGGCUACACACGUACUACAAUGGCCGGUACAACGGGCUGUGAAGCCGCGAGGUGGAACGAAUCCUAAAAAGCCGGUCUCAGUUCGGAUUGCAGGCUGCAACUCGCCUGCAUGAAGUCGGAAUUGCUAGUAAUCGCGGAUCAGCAUGCCGCGGUGAAUACGUUCCC